rnacentral:rRNA from 1 species
AGUGAACGCUGGCGGUAGGCCUAACACAUGCAAGUCGAACGGCAGCACAGUAAGAGCUUGCUCUUACGGGUGGCGAGUGGCGGACGGGUGAGGAAUACAUCGGCAUCUACUUUUUCGUGGGUGAUAACGUAGGGAAACUUACGCUAAUACCGCAUACAACCUACGGGUGAAAGCAGGGGAUCUUCGCACCUUGCGCGAUUGAAUGAGCCGAUGUCGGAUUAGCUAGUUGGCGAGGUAAAGUCCCACCAAGGCGACGAUCCGUAGCUGGUCUGAGAGGAUGAUCAGCCACACUGGAACUGAGACACGGUCCAGACUCCUACGGGAGGCAGCAGUGGGGAAUAUUCGACAAUGGGCGCAAGCCUGAUCCAGCCAUACCGCGUGAGUGAAGAAGGCCUUCGGGUUGUAAAGCCCUUUUGUUGGGAAAGAAAAGCAGCAGGUUAAUACCCCGCUGUUCUGACGGUACCCAAAGAAUAAGCACCGGCUAACUUCGUG